rnacentral:rRNA from 1 species
GAACCUGAAACCGUGUACGUACAAGCAGUAGGAGCACCUUCGUGGUGUGACUGCGUACCUUUUGUAUAAUGGGUCAGCGACUUAUAUUCAGUGGCAAGGUUAACCGUAUAGGGGAGCCGUAGCGAAAGCGAGUCUUAACUGGGCGCUCAGUCUCUGGAUAUAGACCCGAAACCGGGUGAUCUAGCCAUGGGCAGGUUGAAGGUUGAGUAACAUCAACUGGAGGACCGAACCGACUAAUGUUGAAAAAUUAGCGGAUGACUUGUGGCUAGGGGUGAAAGGCCAAUCAAACUCGGAGAUAGCUGGUUCUCCCCGAAAGCUAUUUAGGUAGCGCCUCGGACGAAUACUACUGGGGGUAGAGCACUGUUAAGGCUAGGGGGUCAUCCCGACUUACCAACCCUUUGCAAACUCCGAAUACCAGUAAGUACUAUCCGGGAGACACACGGCGGGUGCUAACGUCCGUCGUGGAGAGGGAAACAACCCAGACCGCCAGCUAAGGUCCCAAAGUAUUGCUAAGUGGGAAACGAUGUGGGAAGGCUCAGACAGCUAGGAUGUUGGCUUAGAAGCAGCCAUCAUUUAAAGAAAGCGUAAUAGCUCACUAGUCGAGUCGGCCUGCGCGGAAGAUGUAACGGGGCUAAGCA